UGGGCCAAGAUGCUUACCAUUAUGGUGGGCACCUUCAUUCAGCUAGUGUUGACUAUGAACAGUUAACAGAGAGUUUCUAAAGCCAUUUCCGGAAAAGCUUUGCUCCCAAAUGGUGCCAAUUUCUACCCCAAUCAGCCAUAGAGGGAUUUGACUUGACACAGUUGUGGGGUGGUCUGAGCAGCCUUUCUCAACCUGUCAUCUGUGUGCCUGUUGCUGCAGCUGCAAUCCACAGAGCAGGUGGUCACGAAGGGACAGCUGAUGUUAACGGGAAGAGAUCUGGGCAGGCUGGAACUCACAAGCAUGAGUGAAGUUGGACAGAAACUUGUGUCCAUUAUUGUUGCCUCUAACCUUUGGUAAAAGCAUCCUGCGGAACCCAUGGCCAUUGAUCGUGCACCUGCACAUGCACCCCGAGCCUGUGUGCUGCAGAAGCCAAUAAAGGAGCAGGGACAGGAAAGUACACACAACUGCUUCACACCAAGAAAAUCCAGGAACAACUUGUUUCACUUGGGUUUGAGACAGUAGCAGAUGCACCUUUGCACUUGGGAAGGCAGCCAGAGGAGAUAAUUUAACAGCUUGUGUCACUAGUAAUGGAAAAUCAAGAUAGCCGUGUUCAUUUUUGCAAUGCAAAUAUAGGACAUGUGUGUUUGUAGUGUUCUCGUCGGUGGACAAAAAAUGCAUUCCAGAUAUGAUCACCGGAUUGAAGACUGUUUAGAUAGGUUGACAUUUCUGAAAGAUUGGAAAAAAGCACCCAAGGUCAAUAGCAGUAAUGGAUUGAAGAGACCUCACCAAUAUUCGGAUUGUUUUCAUCAAAAAAGCAUAUUUUAUACUGAGAAGGAAGAUGUAUAAGAGGAGUGUAGUCACAUCGCAUAUUAAAAUGUACAGCAAACAUGUACAAAACAUACAGGAAAGUCUUUAUAAUGAAGACGAUGAUGAACUGGCAUGAGAAAGGGAAAAAAAUGAAAUAGAGAAUAGAAAGAAGAGAAAUAGACCCAAGGACACAUAGAAACCUAGCGUAGGAUAAAGUUCAAUCUUAAAUCAUUUGGGGAUAAUGGAUGUUUUAAUAAUGGACACUGUGACAGAUGUAGGCAGCCAUUUAAGAGAUGAUAAAAUUAGAUCCACUCCUCACGCCGUACUCAGAAACGAAUCCACAAUGGACCAGAGAAAAGGUAAAAGAACCAGAACCACAAAGUGGUCAGGACCACUACAAACCAGAAAAAUUCUUGUAUGGCCUGGGUGUAGGGAAAUGGCUUUCUAAUCAUCGCAAAUUUAAUAAAAGAACGGAUGCAUACGUUUGGCUACAUUUAUUUUUUAAAUUAUUUUUAAGGACUAGUUUUCCCUCACGUAUU